GAAAUGCGAUAAGUAGUGUGAAUUGCAGAAUUCAGUGAUUCAUCGAAUCUUUGAACGCACAUUGCGCCCUUUGGUAUUCCUUAGGGCAUGCCUGUUCGAGCGUCAUCUAAACCUUCAAGCCCUGCUUGGUGUUGGGUGCCUGUCCCGCCUCCGCGCGCGGACUCACCUCAAAUCCAUUGGCGGCCCCCGCGUCGGCCACGAGCGCAGCAGAAACGCGAACUCGUGAGCCCGUCCGGGCGGCUCCCAGAAGCUACACCCACCCAGUUUGACCUCGGAUCAGGUAGGGAUACCCGCUGAACUUAAGC
rnacentral:misc_RNA from 1 species